AGUUACAGUUUCUAUGAAAUCGUCAGACUCGAGCUCUUGUCUUAUGUUCAGGCAGACUAGAGCGCGGCGCCGCCUUGCUGAAUGUUCCUGCAAGCUUGACGAGGACUGCUGACACCAUAGCAACCGAGGAUAAUGAGCUGGUGUUGCCUCCCAAGAGCCAAGAAGCAGCAGCACAAUCUCUACUCCCACAAACAACAGGAGAUUCUUCACUCCAAUACCAGCAUAAGCGGCAUUUCGGCCGAGAAGAACAUAAGGCUCUUCUCCUAUGCGCAGUUGAGAUCAGCAACAGACAACUUCAACCACAACAAUAAAGUCGGCCGAGGUGGAUUCGGGACAGUAUAUAAGGGAACCCUAC